rnacentral:rRNA from 1 species
ACGGAGGGUGCAAGCGUUGUUCGGAAUUACUGGGCGUAAAGCGCGGGCAGGUGGCCUUUUAAGUCCUUUGUGAAAUUCCGGAGCUCAACUCCGGACAUGCAUAGGAUACUGGAAGGCUAGAGACUGGUAGAGGCGAGCGGAAUUCCUGGUGUAGCGGUGGAAUGCGUAGAUAUCAGGAGGAACACCGGUGGCGAAGGCGGGUCUCUGGGCCGAUACUGACGCUGAGGAGCGAAAGCGUGGGGAGCGAACAGGA